CAUGGGGAAUAUUGGACAAUGGGCGCAAGCCUGAUCCAGCCAUACCGCGUGGGUGAAGAAGGCCUUCGGGUUGUAAAGCCCUUUUGUUGGGAAAGAAAUCUUGCCGGUUAAUACCUGGCGAGGAUGACGGUACCCAAAGAAUAAGCACCGGCUAACUUCGUGCCAGCAGCCGCGGUAAUACGAAGGGUGCAAGCGUUACUCGGAAUUACUGGGCGUAAAGCGUGCGUAGGUGGUGGUUUAAGUCUGCUGUGAAAGCCCUGGGCUCAACCUGGGAAUUGCAGUGGAUACUGGGUCACUAGAGUGUGGUAGAGGGAUGCGGAAUUUCCGGUGUAGCAGUGAAAUGCGUAGAGAUCGGAAGGAACAUCCGUGGCGAAGGCGGCAUCCUGGGCCAACACUGACACUGAGGCACGAAAGCGUGGGGAGCAAACAGGAUUAGAUACCCUGGUAGUCCACGCCCUAAACGAUGCGAACUGGAUGUUGGGUGCAACUUGGCACCCAGUAUC
rnacentral:rRNA from 1 species